UCAAACUUGGUCAUUUAGAGGAAGUAAAAGUCGUAACAAGGUUUCCGUAGGUGAACCUGCGGAAGGAUCAUUAACGUAUCUACCCGGGUGGACGGGUGCCUGCCACGCUCCGGACCGAAAGGCCGUGCAGCGGGUGGGACCCGGACGCUCGAACCUUCACAAACCCCACUGUGCACCUUUGUCGGCUGAGCGGGGGCGUCGGCGAGAGCCCUCGUCCCUGCGGCCGGAUAUCACAAACUCUGAAGUCUUAAUAGAAUGAUCAGCGGACGCUGUGCCGCCUAAAACUUUAACAACUUUCAACAACGGAUCUCUUGGCUCUCGCAUCGAUGAAGAACGCAGC
rnacentral:misc_RNA from 1 species